rnacentral:rRNA from 1 species
AUGCAAGUCGAACGGCAGCACGGGUGCUUGCACCUGGUGGCGAGUGGCGACCUGGUGAGUAAUACAUCGGAACGUACCUUAUCGUGGGGGAUAACGCAGCGAAAGUUGCGCUAAUACCGCAUACGCCCUGAAGGGGAAAGCGGGGGACCGUAAGGCCUCGCGCGAUUAGAGCGGCCGAUGUCUGAUUAGCUUGUUGGUGAGGUAAAAGCUCACCAAGGCGAUGAUCAGUAGCUGGUCUGAGAGGACGAUCAGCCACACUGGGACUGAGACACGGCCCAGACUCCUACGGGAGGCAGCAGUGGGGAAUUUUGGACAAUGGGGGCAACCCUGAUCCAGCAAUGCCGCGUGAGUGAAGAAGGCCUUCGGGUUGUAAAGCUCUUUUGUCAGGGAAGAAACAGCAGCUCUAACACAGUCUGCGAAUGACGGUACCUGAAGAAUAAGCACCGGCUAACUACGUGCCAGCAGCCGCGGUAAUACGUAGGGUGCGAGCGUUAAUCGGAAUUACUGGGCGUAAAGCGUGCGCAGGCGGUUAUACAAGACAGGCGUGAAAUCCCCGGGCUUAACCUGGGAAUGGCGUCUGUGACUGUAUAGCUAGAGUGUGUCAGAGGGGGGUGGAAUUCCACGUGUAGCAGUGAAAUGCGUAGAUAUGUGGAGGAACACCAAUGGCGAAGGCAGCCCCCUGGGAUAACACUGACGCUCAUGCACGAAAGCGUGGGGAGCAAACAGGAUUAGAUACCCUGGUAGUCCACGCCCUAAACGAUGCUGACUAGUUGUUGGGAAUUUACAUCCUCAGUAACGUAGCUAACGCGUGAAGUCAGCCGCCUGGGGAGUACGGUCGCAAGAUUAAAACUCAAAGGAAUUGACGGGGACCCGCACAAGCGGUGGAUGAUGUGGAUUAAUUCGAU